AAUUUGUCAUUGCAGAAGAAUAUUAAAAAAGACAAAACCAUAUCCAAACAUUAUAGAAGUUUUGGAUCUUUUCUCUAUUUUAGGCGGAUGUCCAAGACCCCCUGAUUCAGCAUGACAACACUGCCCUCCCGACCUCCUCAUCCUCAACUAAAGCUUCUGCUUAACUCAAUUAAACUCGCAACUGCGUGGAGAGUCUGGGUCAGACAUGACAUUUCUUUUGCUACAUUUUGAGAUGUGACACCAAUUCAACAGGUGAACCAUGGAUCAAGGCCGCUAUUAUAUACACGGAUUUUGUCUUCUUUGUAAUCAUCAUCAGGUGCUUUUAGUGACUUUAAAGUGACAUUCACAGGCGAGUUUUUGAUUGGACAAAACUAAAUUUGUAUAUCUGUUUUUAUCCGCAUGCUCAUACAGUACAUGUAAGCCAUGAUUUGAUUCUGAG